rnacentral:lncRNA from 1 species
AUGCUUUUUAUGCGGAAGGAGUCUGAUUUGUUGCUGACGGCUGAGCUUGAGGCACACAAACAGCAACUGGAGCUGGACAGAAGCCGGAGUCAGACCCCGCUGCACUCAUUUCAUAAGUAUAAAGCUGGUGAGGCUCAGGACAAGAACACACAGACGGACUUAUCAGAAUCCUCUUUGUCAUGGGAGUCACCACCAGAUCACCAGAGCAGCCACAACAAAUACACUCAGGUGACAAUGAACACUCAACAUGUGACAGUAAGUUGUAGAACGUUAACUC